GACGAACCGUCCAAACGUUGUUCGGAAUCACUGGGCUUAAAGGGCGCGUAGGCGGGUCUCCAAGUCGGUGGUGAAAUCUUUCAGCUCAACUGGAAAAGUGCCGCCGAUACUGGGGACCUCGAGGGAGGUAGGGGUCGAUGGAACUAAUGGUGGAGCGGUGAAAUGCGUAGAUAUCAUUAGGAACGCCGGUGGCGAAAGCGAUCGACUGGACCUCUUCUGACGCUGAGGCGCGAAAGCCAGGGGAGCAAACGGG
rnacentral:rRNA from 1 species